CCCGUCUUGUAACACGGACCAAGGAGUCUAGCAUCUGUGCGAGUGUCUGAUUUUUAACAUCAUACGCGUAAUGAAAGUAACAGUGGUGAUAUUUUUUUGCAUCAUCCGCCGGCCACAAAACUUCGGUUGAAAGGUCUGAGUGUGAGCAUAAAUGCUGGGACCCGAAAGAUGGUGAACUAUGCUUGAAUAGGCCGAAGCCAG
rnacentral:rRNA from 1 species